AUGCGAGAAAUGGGGCUCAUAAAAUCUUCUCCUGAAAAUAUCCAACUCUCUGAAGGCCCGUUCUCCCAGUUUUCCCCAGAGCACAGAGUGCCUCAUUCCUGAUCUUCAUCCUGAACUUCUUUUAGGGUGUGUUGAAGGUCAGCGACUGCAGUGACCAGUGACUUCAUCCUUGUAGGGGCAGAUGGCGAGUGAAGAAUUGUCAUCCACAGGAUUACUACAGCAAGGAUAUGGCCAAAGGAGAGAUGAGAGGUGGGAAGAGUGAAUUAGAAGCUUUUGUGAUGAGCGAAGUGGAGCCUGAACAGGGAUGGUGGCUGAAAAAAUGAAAGGGUCAUACCUGGGACACUCGGAAGUUUCCAGUCAGAGCUGCCACUGCUGGCCUGCGCCAC